rnacentral:rRNA from 1 species
AUACGGAGGGUGCAAGCGUUACUCGGAAUCACUGGGCGUAAAGCGCGCGCAGGCGGUCUUUUAAGUUGGAUGUGAAAGCCUACGGCUCAACCGUAGAACUGCAUCCAAAACUAUUAGACUAGAGUGUGGGAGAGGAAGAUGGAAUUAGUUGUGUAGGGGUAAAAUCCGUAGAGAUAACUAGGAAUACCAAAAGUGAAGGCAAUCUUCUGGAACACUACUGACGCUGAGGCGCGAAGGCGUGGGGAGCAAACAGGAUUAGAAACCCCAGUAGUCC